CUGGCACGGUAGGCGGUCGCUUUUGCACCACGCAAAAGAGGAAAGUCCGAGCUGCGAUAAGACAAGGUUCCAUCUAACGGAUGGCUAGGGAAACCUAAGGGAUAGUGUAACAGAAAGUAAACUUCCGCUUUGGCGGUAAAGGUGAAACGGUGGAGUAAGAGCCCACCGGCACGCUUGGUAACUUGCGUGGCCAUAUAAACCCAACCUGCAGCAAGAAGGGAUGGUUUUGGUCUUAUAUUAAAACCCUUCGCUAGAGUUUGUUUGUAAAAGCAAGCGUAGAUAAAUGAUCGCUCAAGACAGAACUCGGCUUAACGCCGUGCCUUUAAA
rnacentral:RNase_P_RNA from 1 species